CGUAGACUAAGCAACCUUGCAGAUGAAGAAUAUGGGAGUUCGGUAAAGACGGCUGCGAAAAGGGGUCGUGGUUUGCUAGGCUUACGCUGCGGGGCCGAACCUCCAAGCCCCGACUGCAGCAACGGCGUUACUAUGUGGUAUUAUGAUCCGGCAAAUGACACAUGUGUUGCUCAUGACGUGGGAAACUGCAUCACAUUUGGUUUUCUCAUAUGUCGAAUAUGUGUGACGACAUGCAUGGGUUUCAGAUGGGGAGAUCCAGAGAUUGAAAACAUCUGCCACUUUCAAUAUUGAGUAUAAGCAGGUGGACAGGAUGACGGACAUCUUAGAUUAGUCAAGGUUUCUUCGCAACAUAAUGAAACAAUAGAGAAGCAUGCGAUGUGCUAUGACAAACAAAAAAUUAUGAAAUAAAGAACAGCAGGCACCUGUGGAAUUUGAGUA